CCUACGGGAGGCAGCAGUGGGGAAUAUUGCACAAUGCGGGAAACCCUGAUGCAGCGACGCCGCGUGAGUGAAGAAGUACUUCGUUACGUAAAGCUCUAUCAGCAGGGAAGAAAAUGACGGUACCUGAGUAAGAAUCUCUGACUAACUACGUUCCAGCAGCCGCGGUCAUACGGAGGGGGCAAGCGUUAUCCGGAUUGACUGGGUGUAACGGGAGCGUAGACGGCAGUGCAAGUCUGGAGUGAAAGGCGAGGGCUCAACCCUAGGACUGCUCCGGAAACUAUACGGCUGGAGUGCAGGAGAGGUAAGUGGAAUUCCUAGUGUAGCGGUGAAAUGCGUAGAUAUUAGGAGGAACACCAGUGGCGAAGGCGGCUUACUGGACUGUAACUGACGUUGAGGCUCGAAAGCGUGGGGAGCAAACAGGAUUAGAUACCCUUGUAGUC
rnacentral:rRNA from 1 species